CCAAGAGAGAGAAGUGAGAGUCCCCAGGGAGGGCUCCAUAACACGGGGAAAUAGCAUCCUUCACUUGCAGGGACUUCAAUUUAAACGAUGAAAAACAUGAAAAACAGUAACCUGGUGUACAAAUAAGGAGAAGCAUCGUAUUGUCAUUACCAGGCGUACUUCUGAGAGAUCAUCUGAAGUUACCCCAGACGGGACUGUUUCAGCCUGGAACGUUUAGGCUAGAGAACUGAAGUUGGUGAUUAUACACAGUAGGGGUAAAGAAACUGAAGAUACCAAGAAAGAUUUCACAAGAGUGGUUUUAUGUGAGACUCAUAAAGACAGCACAACAAAGCAGCGGACUGAAGUUAAAGCGGACAUUCAACAAAGGACAAAAUAAUCUGUUCUAUACUUACAGGUAUGAAAGACUGGGCAGAAAUCAGUUCGGAAGGCCUUCUUGGAAACUGAGAGGGUGAUUUUCAUAUUUUUCACAAGUGGGUGUAGCUCCCACUCUUCACCAAAGAAACUUCUUCGUUUCAGCAGAGGUGGAGACCAUCACAGAAAUCUACAACUUGUCAGCACGCACAGAACAACUGUCAGUUUGGCGCCCAUCACCAACUGAUACAUUUGCAACACAACCCCUACACCCGGGGCCCAGGAAACAUGGUGGAAGAGGAGAGGAAAAACUGCCAGAGAGAAAG